rnacentral:lncRNA from 10 species
ACGGGCCAGCCGGAUGGACGGCCGCUGCCGAGACGGAAACCUGGGAGGACUGGUCGGUCUGUCUCCUUCAGGUAGUGCUCAGGAGGCUCGAGCACACCUCGUUCCCCGUGGCACUCAUGCCCACACUCAUCCCUGAAACUUGAGCCAAUGUAAGAAACAGCCGUGUGUGGUGAUCCAUGGGGUGCUGCAGGCAACAGAUGCCAAAUGCGGUUUUUGUGAUGGGAGUCUGGGGCGGGAUAACUGUGGGUGCUGCGGGCAACAGACCCCGAAUGCGGUUUUUGUGAUGGGAGUCUGGGGCGGAAUAGCUGUUCUAGAGCCGUGAAGGGAUCAAGCACAUUCCCAAAGCCCCUGCUCGGCAUAAUGACCUUAUUAAGUCCACGUUUUCUUUCUUUUCCUGGUAGAUAGGAUCUUUUCUAACCUUUUCCACCUAAGAUUCAUACAUAAUUCCCUUCCCCAGCAUGAUUUGUAACGGCUGCACGGUGGACCAUCCCUUGGGAGGCCCAUCAUCAUUCACCUCAACAGGCCCCUUUCCUGGGCCUUUAGGUAAAUCUACAUGUUCUUUUCGACUGAGGCUUUUUGGCAACCACACAUGAAAGUGAUGGUCUGGGCCGGGCGAGGUGGCUCACGCCUGUAAUCCCAGCACUUUGGGAGGCCAAGGUGGGUGGAUCACCUGAGGUCAGCAGUUCGAGACCAGCCUGGCCAACAUGGCAAAACCCUGUCUCUACUAAAAAUAUGAAAAUUAGCUGGGCAUGGUGGCACAUGCCUGUAAUCCUAGCUACUCGGGAGGCUGAGGCAGGAGAAUCACUUGAACCCAGGAGGCAGAGGUUGCAGUGAGCUAAGACUGUGCCACUGCACUCCAGCCUGGGCAACACAGCGAGACUCCGUCUCAAAAAA